rnacentral:tRNA from 1 species
GGGGAUUAGUUUAAUUAAAACGAAUGAUUUCGACUCAUUAGAUUAUGAUAAGCAUUAUAAUUACCA